GCGUUGUCCGGAGUCAUUGGGCGUAAAGAGCGUGUAGGCGGCCCGAUAAGUCUGCCGUGAAAGUCCAGGGCUCAACCCUGGGAUGCCGGUGGAAACUGUCGGGCUCGAGUCCGGAAGAGGCGAGUGGAAUUCCUGGUGUAGCGAUGAAAUGCGCAGAUAUCAGGAGGAACACCUAUGGCGAAGGCAGCUCGCUGGGACGGUACUGACGCUGAGACGCGAAAGCGUG
rnacentral:rRNA from 1 species